AAUUUAUUGGUAAUAAAUUUGAGGUUAAUUUAUUUAGUAUAGUAUAGUAGUAUUUGUAAUUUUUUUAGUGGUGUGAAGAAUGAGUAAUAGUAUAGGUAAUUAAUGUGUGUAAAUAAAAAUUUGUGAUGUUGAAAGCGGUGAGAAAAGAAAAAGAAAUUUAGGAAGAAAUAUAGGGUCGUUGGUAGUAAAGGUGGUAUUUUUAG
rnacentral:misc_RNA from 1 species